GACGAACGCUGGCGGCGUGCUUAACACAUGCAAGUCGAACGGAAAGGCCCUGCUUUUGUGGUGUUCUCGAGUGGCGAACGGGUGAGUAACACGUGAGUAACCUGCCCUUCACUUUGGUAUAACUUCAGGAAACUGGGGCUAAUACCGGAUAGGAGCUCCUGCUGCAUUGUGGGGGUUGGAAAGUUUCGGCGGUUGGGGAUGGACUCGCGGCUUAUCAGCUUGUUGGUUGGGUAGUGGCUUACCAAGGCUUUGACGGGUAGCCGGCCUGAGAGGGUGACCGGCCACAUUGGGACUGAGAGACGGCCCAGACUCCUACAGGAGGCAGCAGUGGGGAAUAUUGCACAAUGGGAGGAAGCCUGAUGCAGAAACGCCGCGUGCGGGAUGACGGCCUUCGGGUUGUAAACCGCUUUCGCCUGUGACGAAGCGUGAGUGACGGUAAUGGGUAAAGAAGCACCGGCUAACUACGUG
rnacentral:rRNA from 1 species